CCUUGUGAAACAGGAGGAGGUGGGAGAAGGGGUGAAGUUUGACUCAGGUCCAGAGAUAAAGACUGACACACACAAAUGGACCAUAAUAGGGAGCAAAGUGAGUUAAGCUGAAGUAAAUGUUUUAAAAUCCUCAGCUAGAUAGACUAAACAGCAUUGGCCUAGGAGCCAGGAGACCCAGCUGUCUGUCCAGGCAUUCUCACUUAGGAAAUGCAACUCUAGCUAGCCUGCGAAGCCUCCCUUGUGUCCCUGUUUUGUCAUCUGUAAAAUGGAGGCCAGCCUCCAUGACAGGAGGAGCAGUGAGGAGGGAAAAGUAAUGUCUCUGCAAGUGCUUUGUGAAUUUUAACCUGCAAGUCGAAUGGGGGCAUUAUUUUGUGUUGAUUGUGUUUCUAUUUUGGAAAACUAUGUUCAGAAAAUGGAAAUAUUUUCAAUUGAGGGAAAAAUCCAUCAGGAUAAGGGGGAAAAGAACCCUUCUACCGUGUUUGUAAUGGCUUUUCGAACUGAGUUGCAGGGGCGCUUACUGCUGACAACUUUGCUUUGUGUUAAGUCUAAUCGUCUACUAAAAAGGCCAUUUGGGUUACACCCCAAUUACCAUCACAUAUGUCUAAACUUCACCAGCUCACAAGGGACCACUAAGUUACAUAUCUUCAUGAACAGAAAGUAUGUCGGAUGAUUAUUUUUUUCCUCCCAGGUUUCUUAGCCUGUUGGCAGCAUUUUCCCAGAGUGUUUUCGAAAGCUUUCACAAGAUAUCCUCAUAACGCUGGCAAAAAAUACGAAGCAUACUUUAAGACUAAUGCUUAACUUCUGCAGGACCCUGAUUGUUUUUCAGGUUGAAAACGAAGACAGCGAGUUUCUGGAUGUACCUGUCAAGACUAAAUGAUUGUUCAUUUCCUGUGAAUUGGAAAUAACGUAAUAACAUGCAGCUGGGGAGCUAGGCUGUGUUUCUUGCUUUAGCCUCUUCCAGAAGCUGGGUCCCUUACCAGCUGGGAAAUAUUACUGUAUGAACGUGCUGAAAAACUUAGGGGAAAUGAAAAGAACAACCACAUUCUAGAUGUCAGCAAUCAGUUUGAUGGUCUUACCUGUACCAACCUGAGAAGAUUUUAAUAGCAAAGGUAUACAAAGAUUAAUUUAAUUUAAAAUGAGCUCUUAGGGGAAAAAAGGAAGGAUUUACAAGGCCACAAAAAUCUUUGUCUAGAAUUGAGCUGAUUAGAAUUAACCCUGUUAAAAUUAUGCAUGCCAAUGAAUGGGUGAGUUUGAAACAAUUAAAAAUAAUAAAGUAUUUUCACCCAAGGGAAAUGGAUUAGUAUGAAUCAAAGUAUCCAUGUUUUGCUAAUGCAGUCAUUACCUGGAACAAAAAAAAAACAAAAAAAAAUACAAAACAUAAAUUCAAUGCUGAGUUUAAAAUGGUAAUUCAGCAAAAUGUAAUCACAGGCACUUAUUUUAAAUGCAUGCUUAUAACAUUUAGUAUAAUAAAUUACAUUUAGUUGUUUCAUUAGCCGUCACACUAUACGUUGUGAUAAUCAGAUAUUACAUAGAUGCUGAGAGAUGGAGCCAAUGUUUCACUUCAGGUGGCUCCCAGUCCAGCUCAUCUUCAUAAUUAAUUAGAGAAAGAGGAGGUGGGGUAGGAGCAGAAGAGAUGCUUAGAUUAUUCAGGUCCCCAGCUUCUCCUGGGAAGGGAAGGAGAGGAAGGAGAGACUGAGGCAGAAGGAAAGUCUCUGCCAGUGGAAUCUUAGAGCGUCAUUGCCCAUUGUACCCAGACCUACGUAUGGAAGCAAAGAAAUCUGGGGUCUGAGAGAGUGUAAGGGUGAGAUAGCUGCCCAGGAUCACCUUGUAUGUGUGGUUCUCAGCCUUGACUAGGCAUCAGAAUUACUUAUAGAACUUUUAAAAAUAAAAACAACUGGGUCCUGUCCAGUCCUGGGCUAAAGCUUGGGAAUGACAUCUUCAUGAUUUAAAAAAAAAAACAAAAAACAACAACAAAACCCUACAAUUGAUUUUGAAUGCUGAGCUAGGUUGAAAACCAUGGGUAGGUGGUAGUUGGAAAUAAACUGAAAGGUGAGUUUGACAAUAUUGCAAUAUUGCACUUUAUCUAAAUCUCUCUUCAUCUUGUUUGAGUCUAAAGAAGGAGCUACAUGUCUUGAAGUGUAUCAGAUAGACAGAGUACGAUGAAGAUGCCGUAAUAAAAUCAUACCUGACACUGCUGUAGCUCUUUGAGACUCGUUGCCUAAUGGACAGAACAAGUACACAUCCAUUACAUCAUUUCUUUCCCCUCCCUUCUUCUCUUAGCGCAAGAAUCAUCACCCCGUCUUACAGAUAAGAAAACAUGCCACAUCCUGCCAAAUCCCCCAACAGUGUGAACAGGUGGGUUGACCCCCAUUUUGUGUUCCUGUCCCAGAUGCAAUUUUUUAGGCCUGACAGCUGUUUGUGCAGGAUGCCUGGGGAUGGAGACAGGGUGCUCUGCUCUUAGAUGGUUUUAUGCUCAUGUAACAGAGAAAAGAGAAUUCAGCAAUCAAACACCUAGCUCCCAAGUUGACUACAAAUGGAGAGAAGGUUUGUGUUUUACUUUCACCUUAAAGAGUUGGCUUACAUCCAGCAUGUAUAAUAGUUUUUGGCUUUCUAUUUUACACAAGUCCUCUUCUUAAGUUAACAUGUCAUAUAUCCCAUGUCUAUUUCAUUGCUUCCUGGGAUUCAAUAGAGAAUAGAUGGUAAGGAGAAAAUGGUGCAGUAGAGACAAUAAGCAGCAAGUCCCCCGGCAGGCAUCCUGGGGCAAGCAGCCAUGGUGGACUCCUUGUGUGCUUACUUCUUUCACAUCAAGAGAAGCAAAUGGUCCCCAGGUCAAGGAUGGAAGAAGAGGUUAAAAAAUCUUCCAGUUAUGUUUGGGUUUAUUUCCCUGCCUCCCGAGUAAGCUUUCAGUUACUUUGUUCUUAUGAUUCAACUAAUCUAAUGGAAAGAAAUCAUGAUCACAGCAUUUGAGGCAGAUGGAUGGCUUAGGGCUGUAAGUUAUCUGGGGAAGACUGUUGGGAAUGGACUUGAGGAUAAAGCUAUUACGAAGCACAGCAGUAGAAGCUAUGCUUUUGCUGAUACAAUUUACCUUUUUAAUGAAGUUACUUCACAUUUUAUGUUAACAUAGACAAAAUGCUUCCAAGGUAAGAUUGUUUUUGAAGGUCUGUGAUGCAGUGAUAGCUACCACUGUAGCAAAUGUGCAGUGUUAAAUGUGAUGAAUCAAUGUCCUCUCAGAUACCAGUAUUUCACAGAUCAGUAUAACUCAUUGUACUUAAUGGUUUAUCCUAUCAUACAAAAAUAUAUCUACAGAAGGUAUCCCUCAAGUUUUUAUAAAUUACUAGGCUGACCAUUUUAUCAUAUUUUAUCUUCUUCACAUGUGAGUUUAAAAGAUUGAUGGUGUUAUAAUUAUGUUUAAAUCACAUCUGGUUUUACAAUAGCCUAUGGAGAAACAUUUCUGACAGUAACAGAAAGGAACUGUAUGGAAAGUUGAAUAUAUGGAACAUAGCUAACCUUUUAAAUCAAACAUGUAGAGCUAUUUUGGGGAACAGGAAUGGCAAAUAGGUUUCACCUGAGCACUGACCAACUGGCAGCUCACUGAAGUGAUAUUUUGUGAAAGCUGAUCUGGGCUCAGCGAGAAAGUGUGCCAAGAUUGACUAGUGAUGCCUGUCAUGGAGGAAGGACCGGACCUGGCAUCAUGUGUUUGCCAUCUCCACUGUGGGAAGAAAAGGAAAAAACUGAACUGUAUAGUGAAUGCAUAUUUCACUACGAACAAAGACUGUUGAGAUAUGUGAAGAAUUCCUCUGAUGGCAUAGCUUUUGCCAGAGCGAAGACUCCAUUGAUCAUUUUGGAUAGUUUUAGAUUUAAGAGCCUUAUUAAAGGUGUUUAAUGCAUAUCUGGGUGUCUAGAAGAGUAAGGAUUAUUCAUUUUUCUCAACAUGCUACACUGUUACGUGAAAUUCUGGAAUUAAGUUUGUCAUUGUUAUGGUAGAGAGUGUCAGUCCGAAUCUUCCAGUUACACAAGCCGCACGCAAAUGAGGCUUUUCCCUUGGAUUCCAUCAUCCUCAGGUACACUUCAGCCGAGUUAUUUUCACAAAUGUAGUUUUCGUUGCAGUCAAAGCAAAUGCUAUCAUUUACACUAGUGAUUAUGAAGCCCACGGCGAAGUCAUUAAACCCAUCAUAUUUCUAAGUUUCAUUUUACAAUAUUAGUGAGGAUACAACGCUAGCAAACUCAUUUGUUUCCUGUUAAAGAUAAUAUAAAUGGAAAGCAAAGUAGGGGUUAUCCCUCUGGAGAAACCAUGAGUUUAAUAUGAUUAAUGUUGCAAAGAAAUAACUUUCUUAUUGAAUCAAUGACCUUUUCAUCACAGUGAGUUGUAUUAAAUUGCAAAAUUUAAUUUCAGAUAGAAGAAAACAUUCCUCAAUUCUAUUGUAAAUAAUGACAUAUUUAUUCACAUAUCUUCAGCAUGUUUUCUACCAAAGAUUCAUCAUUUCAGUUGAUUUUUAUUAUGUUUCUUAGUUGCAGAUUAUUCCUCAUAGUUUUCUAAUAGAUUGACACUUUUUAUUAUUUAUUGAUUGGGUCUUUGAAGACAUGGGUUGACUAGGAUGGGUUUUGGUUCUGGUUAGUUUAUGUAGCCAGAUAAUUGAUGAGUCAUGAACAAGAACCUCCGAGAAUUUGUUAUUUAUUUCUGUACUAUUCCCCCUACUCUCCCUUACCUAACAAAUCCAUUUUCUGGGACUCUCAGUCAGCAAAUCAUACUCCCAUAUAUCCAACGGUCAUCUAACUGUGACCAUGGACCAUCUUUCCACUUCCUUCCAACCAAUGUAAGUUCAACCUGAAGUCUGUUUUAACUCAUGCUGUUCUCAAUUUCUCCACAGGCAUUUCACAUGUAAGGUUUUGUUUUAAAUUAUGAAAGUAGCUUGUUUGAGUUGUAGGAAGAAGCAAAAUAUGAUUUUUUCUGAAUUCUUACAGAAUGUCUUCAAAGUGCACGUUAUCUUGUCUGUUUCCAUAUCUCAUUAAUCUUUGGGGAUCCUGAGACUGUAUGCUAAGGCUGGCACUGAGUCCUGCCUGGAGCCCUGUAGGAGUGUUUGGAUGCUGAAUUUCUUAAGAAUACGUAAAAGAGAUAAAGGCAUCGGGUUCCUAAGCCGUCUUCGCUGUUAUGUAGAAUUGGCCAAUCUGGACUUCAGGAAAAUUGAUAAAGCACUUCAGAUUCACUUCCAACAAACGGCAUUCCAUAAUGCUCCUUCAAAAAUUGUGUUCCUAGGAGUUGAAAGAGAAUUCACCUCUCGCACAUGAAUUUUCUCCUAAGCCCUUAAUACCCGUUCUGCGCGUUUUGAUGAUUUUUGUGAAUGUGUCUGCAAUGGCCACUGCCUGGCCAGACACCAGCAAUUGUUAGAAGCAGCCCAAUUCCGGGGGUAAAAAAAAAAUGUAAAAAAAAAA